GCCGGUCCAAAGACAAUCCAAGUAACAAUUAUAAAACACUAGUUGUCCAAAAUAUCUAGUUGAAGCUGUCCUACAGCUUCCAAAAAACCACUUUGCAAGCCCUAUUUUCCAGUUGAGCUCAUCUGAGUUGAUGGAGCAUGUACAAGAGUCUCUCAAGGACCAUACAAUCUUUACAGAGUUUUGCAAAAGUUAGGUCAAAGCAGCUUCCCAACACAAUCAAUGAUGUAGUUUUUUCCUCACAAGUGGCACUGGACAACAGCUAAAGGAGAUAGUUUUGAGAGGUUAAAGACAUCUGGUUGCAUGGAUAUAAAGGAGAAGAUGAAGUUUUGUUUUAUCAAAUGUUGAUGCCACUGCCAUUUUUCAAGUUGACGGAGUGUACAAAUGCCACGUGCCAUUUCACAAGCACUUCCAACUAUUAGAUGAAUCCCGAAUUUGACUUCUCUCUGUUAUCCCUUCUUAUGUUGUAUCUGUCUUGUCUCACAAAAAUAAUAACAGUUAUAUUAAUAUUUAAUGAUAAUAUUUAAUUUUAAAAA